UACAGAGGUCCCGAGCGUUGUUCGGAUUCACUGGGCGUAAAGGGUGCGUAGGCGGCGCAGUAAGUUGGGUGUGAAAUCCCUCGGCUUAACCGAGGAAUUGCGCCCAAAACUACUGUGCUCGAGGGAGGUAGAGGUGAGCGGAACUUAGGGUGGAGCGGUGAAAUGCGUUGAUAUCCUAAGGAACACCGGUGGCGAAAGCGGCUCACUGGACCUCUCCUGACGCUGAGGCACGAAAGCUAGGGUAGCAAACGGG
rnacentral:rRNA from 1 species